AGCUCUCUCAGAUAACUGUGAAUCGGCAGCAAAAUGAAGUUUUAGUCGUUUGAAGUGGGUACUUGUGUUUAAACCUGACAGAGUCAGUUGUUGAUGGUGUUGAAGUGUUACCGUUGGGGGUUUUUUCAGUCACGAAGUUUUGUCAUUUUUUGUUUAUAUUACGUUAUUUUUUAAAAUUUAUUUUUCUUUAACUUCGAUUCUGAACUAGUAAGACAUUUGAUUUAUUAAUUUUAUCCAAACCGUCGAUUACCUCCUGGUCAUUAUAAUGGAUAAUAAAUUUAGACUUCCGAAAAGAUAUGAAGGCACUGAAUACUGUGUGUGGAUCGAGUAUCGACAGUUGGCGAUGGAAUACAAGCCGGAAUGUAAUUUGAGCUCAGGAUUUCCAGACUUUCCAGCUUUUCCGGAGUAUUUAACAAAUUAUAUCACUGACGUCGUCGACAAAGAGUCGGAUCAUCUUAUGUAUCAAUACACACGUGGCUUUGGUCAUCCUCGUCUAGUUAAGGCCAUCAGCGAGCUCUACGGGAAGUUGCUUGGAAGAAAAAUAGACCCGCAGUCGGAGGUACUAGCUACCAUUGGUGGCUACGAGGCGCUCUUCUGUGCUAUCCACGGAUUCGCUGGUCCUGGAGAUGAAGUCAUCAUUGUCGAACCUUACUUCGAUUGUUACGUGCCCAUGACGGUUUCUACGGGCGCCACUCCGAUUUUCGUUCCUCUUAGAAAUAAAGGUAGCAACCCUAACUAUGCAAGCUCAAAAGACUGGGUCCUAGAUCCUGACGAAUUGGCGAGAGCAUUCAACAGGAGAACCAAAUUAUUUAUUCUGAACACACCACAUAACCCUUUGGGCAAAGUAUUUACCUAUGAUGAACUUCAGUUAAUCGCUGAUUUAUGCAAGAAGCAUGAUGUGAUAUGUAUAUCUGACGAAGUAUACGAAUGGCUCGUCUACAAACCUGCAAAACACAUUAGGAUGGCAACACUAGAGGGAAUGUGGGAUAGGACGAUCACCAUAGGCUCAGCUGGUAAAAUAUUCAGUGCGACUGGUUUGAAAGUCGGAUGGGUGUAUUGUCCUGCUGAGUUAAUGAAAAAUCUUUUCACCGUUCAUCAAAACUGUGUGCACUGUGGGACCACUUUUGUCCAGGAAGCAACGGCGAGAUGCUUGGAGCAUGAGCUAUCUCUUCUGGGCACACCCGACUGCUACCUUGAAAACCUAUCCGCAAUUUUACAACCUAAACGAGACUAUUUUUGUCGUGUUUUAAGAGACGCAGGUUUCGCUCCGUCAAUCCCAGAAGGAGGCUACUUCAUCGUCAGCAAAUGGUCAAAUUUAGCUCACAAGGUAAAUUUGGAUUCCGAGACUGGCCCAAAUCGAGAUUUUAAAUUUACAAAAUGGAUGACGAAAAAUGUAAAAUUACACGGAAUCCCUGUGUCAUGCUUCUAUCGGGAACAGAACACGUCUCUUGGCGAGGAAUACGUCCGAUAUUGUUUUUUCAAGAAAGAUGAAACUUUGGCAAAAGCAGAGUCAAUCCUGAAAAAUUGGAUCGGCAUGUGAUACAGAGAUUUUGUCUAUUCCAAGUCUUCCCGCCGUAUUCUAUCUCAUCAUCAUAGACAGCUGAACGACGCUUCUGGAUGCAUAAAUAGCUUAUCAAAUUAAGUAUUUUUGGCAAAUAUCUAUGGCAAGGCGCAACGUGCCUGAGCAUGGGCAGCUGAUUCAGGACUCCUCCCGAAGUGUCAACAAGCCUGAAGAGUUGGUGGAGUAAAUUGAGAAGCUUUGAGAGUCUUUGAUCCUCGAUAUGGAAUCUCUGUCCGGCCACCAUCGUCCACAGCACGUUCAGAACGGCCACGUCGAAGAAAUUUCGCACACUUACGAAGCCGUGCGUCUGCAAUCAAAUUCAAAUUGGACGUAUUUAUGCUGAAAGGAACUAUGUGCAAGUGGAAAGAUGUGGUGUGCCCGUGGUGAGCUGGAUAAGAAACAAUGUAAUAGUGGACAUAGUUCCUUUUGAGAAAAUGGAAAAGCGGGAUUUUACAUUAAAUCAAAAGGAACUGAGCGCUAACUCGUGAGCCGUGGACAUGUGAAAAGAGCGUUGUGGACAGGGCUCAUGAGUUAAAGACGAGCAAGAACGACAAUGGAGACGGCCUCGUUGCCGCUGACGUCACUGGAGCUUUCAAAUCCCCGUUCAUUCUCAUGGCCUGGGCACUAACAAGCACACCCCAUCUUCUUUCCACUUGCACAUAGUUCCAUUUAGCAUAAUUAAGUCCGAUUCACUGUACUUAGCCACUCUGCAUUCCAAAUCUGCCGUGCGAAGGAAAUACGCCGUAUGAGCGUCCAGACGUUGCCAUUCCCUUGAUAAAAUAGUCUUUUUCAGGGACAUUAUUCGAACUUUUUAGAGAAUUGUAUCCACGAUCAGGGCUUAAUUAUUUGAAAAUUUCAUCGGAAAACAUCCACAACUCUCCUCAAAAUAACUCUAUGCUGUGACUUUUGUAAAAAAAAAAUUAACUUUCCAUUUUUUUCUCAAAA